rnacentral:piRNA from 1 species
UGAGUUGUCUCUUAAGGCCCAGGGAGCUGU